rnacentral:rRNA from 1 species
AGAGUUUGAUCAUGGCUCAGGAUGAGCGCUGGCGGCGUGCCUAAUACAUGCAAGUCGAGCGGUAAGGCCCCUUCGGGGGUACACGAGCGGCGGACGGCUGAGUAACACGUAGGAACGUACCCCAAAGUGAGGGAUAACUGCUCGAAAGAGUAGCUAAUACCGCAUGUGAUCCACGGAUUAAAGCCUUCGGGCGCUAUGGGAACGGCCUGCGUAUGAUUAGUUAGUUGGUGAGGUAAUGGCUCACCAAGACGAUGAUCAUUAGCUGGUCUGAGAGGAUGAUCAGCCAGACUGGGACUGAGAACGGCCCAGACUCCUACGGGAGGCAGCAGUAGGGAAUUUUCCACAAUGGACGAAAGUCUGAUGGAGCAACGCCGCGUGCAGGAUGAAUGCCUUAGGGUUGUAAACUGCUUUUAUUAGUGACGAUUAUGACGGUAACUAAUGAAUAAGGACCUGCUAACUACGUGCCAGCAGCCGCGGUCAUACGUAGGGUCCAAGCGUUAUCCGGAAUUACUGGGCGUAAAGAGUUGCGUAGGUGGCAUAGUAAGUAGAUAGUGAAAGCGUGUGGCUCAACCAUACAUCCAUUAUCUAAACUGCUAAGCUAGAGGACGAGAGAGGUAGAUGGAAUUCCUGAUGUAGGGGUAAUAUCCGUAGAUAUCAGGAGGAACACCGAUGGCGUAAGCAGUCUACUGGCUCGUUCCUGACACUAAGGCACGAAAGCGUGGGGAGCAAACAGGAUUAGAUACCCUAGUAGUCC